GUUUUCACAGGGGUUUUUGUCUCUUUCCUCCUUUAUCCCUGUCAUGUUGUCCUUGUUGUUCUGUUGUUUCUGGAGACUGCUUUUCUUACCGUGUAUUUUAUUUCCCUGCUCCUGGUCAUUUUCUCCCACCCAAGUAGUAAGCAGGGCCAACAUUGCUUAACUUCUGAGAUGGGCUACGUUCAGGGUGUUAUGGCCUAGACUGUAAUAACACUCUACAAGGAUGCUUGAGUUCUGUUGUUAUUAUUUUUUUUUUCUGCAGAGCAAUUAGGUAAAAUUUGGAAACCAUUUGUUCCUUCUGAGGUUUGUUUUAAAUCUUUGUGAGAUGGUAUCAAGACAGCCUUUAGUCUGGGGCUAAUUUUACCCCUUCCUGCGGCAAUAAAUACCUCUCUGCGUUCUCUGCCAGACUACGAGGCUUUUUCACCCUGGCUGCUACAAGCACCAACUCUUCCAGACCUGCUCAAGCUCCGGGGGUUGCUCCUUGUAACUUGCAGACACAUCGGAGGAGAGGCUAAAAUCCUGUCGGCAUCUUUUUAGGUCCUUCGCAUAUAUAUCGCAGAAACUUCCUUGGAGUCUCAAGAUUACGGUGGCAAGCAGCAGGAGUUCUGCGCUUAAGAGAAGGUUGGGAGGGAGGGACAUGGAUGGGAGGCUGAGUGCACUGUUGUCAGCUCGGGACUUUGAUCUGCUCUCAGGGCCUUCAAUCUCAGCACCAAUAACAGAAUAGAUCACUGUAGUUCUUGACUGAAGUAAGCUUAAAGGAGCUUACUUAGGACAACUUGAGAGAAUGUACAUUCAGGAAUGACCGUUACCAUUUUCCCAUCCACCACUCUCACUACAACUACCAACACCAUCACAUCAUCACCACCACUACCACUACUGGUGCGUUUGUAAAAAGAGAGGGCAGAUAGGUCCAAUGGAGGUGCGGUGAGGUGUGGGUCUGCAGGCCCAUGCUGAGGCACCCCUUCCCCCUGAGGGAUCAACCACACAAAGGUAUAGUAU
rnacentral:lncRNA from 1 species